GAUGAAGAUCGUAGCGAUAUGCGAUAAGUAAUGUGAAUUGCAGAAUUCAGUGAAUCAUCGAGUCUUUGAACGCACAUUGCGCCCCCUGGUAUUCCGGGGGGCAUGCCUGUCCGAGCGUCAUUGCUGCCCUCAAGCACGGCUUGUGUGUUGGGCCCCCGUCCCCGGUUUCCCCCGGGGACGGGCCCGAAAGGCAGCGGCGGCACCGCGUCCGGUCCUCGAGCGUAUGGGGCUUUGUCACCCGCUCUGUAGGCCCGGCCGGCGCCAGCCGACACCCAACUUUAUUUCUAAGGUUGACCUCGGAUCAGGUAGGGAUACCCGCUGAACUUAAGCAUAUCAAUAAGCGGAGGA
rnacentral:misc_RNA from 1 species